AUGCUCACUUCUGUAGCACAUACACUAAAAUUGGAACAAUACAGAGAAGAUUAGCCUGAUUCCUCCGUAAAGAUGGCAUGAACAUUAUGAAGUGUUCUAUAUUUUU
ensembl:snRNA U6 U6 spliceosomal RNA